CGUACAGGGACCUGCACUGAAAGUGUUCUCAGGAAACGUAGGCGGAUGUUGGUGGCUUUGGUGAAGUUGCGCAGCAGUGGCGAAGUAGGAGUAGUUCAUGGCCCCUGGGCGCCCAUUCACCAGGAACACCACGAUCUGCAGAAGGUGUGGACGGUGAGGCCAGGUGUGGCCGCCAGGAGCAGACCUGCAGAACCCACCACCACGCUGUCCUCGGACUCACCUCGCCGUUCUCCAGGGACACUAUGCACCUCACUUGACUGCUGGUAACUGAAACUAAGUAUAGGUGCACGUGCCCACUGAUGACGAGAGCAAGACGUCUUAGCCGAAACGUCUUCCUUCCAAACUCCUGGGAGAAAAGACAAGAGGGAAAAUAUGUGAGCAUUAUAAAAGUAUGCCUAUCGCUGAUACUUUCUUAAACCACAGGUGUGCGGGAUCUCCUCCCGUUAGAUGUCAGAUGCAGACUGACUGACUGAUAGACAACCUACUUGGAACGCAAAUUUGCGGUGCUCUUGCCAAAUUGGCAAGGGCUGGUCCUGUUCUUGUCGAGGUGCUGUUUGCCUGUGCACAGAACGGGAGUGCAGCACCUGUCUGCAAUUCCUCCUGACGAUGGAUUAAAAAGAUGCUAGAACCAGGUGGCCGGUUUUGAGGCCGCAGAACCAGCGGCGCUCGGACCGCGGAGCUGGCUGCCCCUCGGCGCGCGUGCGGACGGAGGGCGCCUGCGGCUGCGCGGGAACACGCUGAAGCGCUGCGGGCAGCGCGCGGGAGCCGGGACGGAGCGGAGCUAAAGAAGUAAACAGCUCAUGGCACGUUUAACAAAAAGAUGACAGGCGGAUACAAAAGCUAUCCAGCAUCUUUGGGCAGCCAUUGAGAUUACACGGAACCAGAAGCAAAUUGCCAACAUUGACCGUAUUACCAAAUUUCCAAUCAAGAUGUAAAGGGUGAAGAAUCAAAGAACAAAGAAUCAGUAACAAGUGAAAUUUAAGCCUUCAGUCAUGCAGAUUCCUAAUAUGAUUCAUAACUCAUUGUCAUGUUAUUUCUCUAAAUGCCAUGUAUAGUUUAAUGUCCAAUAAAAUCAAGUUACAUAUAUCA